UGCUCUAUGAAUAUUUUUUAAAUGGCCGCGGUAUUUUGACCGUGCGAAGGUAGCAUAAUCAUUAGUCUUUUAAUUGGAGGCUGGUAUGAAUGGCUGGACGAGAAAAUUUCUGUCUCUGUUAUAAAAUUCGAAUUUUAUUUUUAAGUGAAAAAGCUUAAAUUUGUUUGAGGGACGAUAAGACCCUAUGGAUCUUUAUAAUGAUAUACAGUAAAAAGCUUAGGUGUGACGGCUUACUGUUUUAAAUUAUUGGGUUGGGGCGACCGGAAGAAAAAAAUAUCUCUUCUUUAAUAAUAUAAUUUUUUUAGAAAUAAAAUGACCCUGAAUUUUGGUUUAAAAGACUAAGUUACCCUAGGGAUAACAGCGUAAUCUUUUUGGAGAGUUCAUAUCGAUAAAAAGGUUUGCGACCUCGAUGUUGGAUUAAGAGAUCCUUGCGGCGCAGCCGUUGUAAAGGAGAGUCUGUUCGACUUUUAAAUUCUUACGUGAUCUG
rnacentral:rRNA from 1 species